rnacentral:rRNA from 1 species
GACGAACGCUGGCGGCGUGCUUAACACAUGCAAGUCGAACGGAAAGGCCUGCUUUCCCUUGUGGAUUGCGGUUACUCGCGUGGCGAACGGGUGAGUAACACGUGCGUUAUCUUCUCCCAACUUUUCUAUAAGCCUGGGAUACUGCGUCUAAUUCCCUAUUGCUCUGUAGUGUGGUGCCUGUGGUUGCAAACGAUUUUCUUGUGCUUGCGGCUGAGCUGGCGGCCUAUCAGCUUGUUGGUUGGGUAAUGGCCUACCAAGGCGGCGACUGGUAGCCGGCCUGGGAGGGUGGGCGGCAACAUUGGGACGGAGAAACGGCCCAGACUACUACGGGAGGAAGCAGUGGGGAAGAAUGAACAAUGAGCGGAAGACAGAGGCAGCGAGGCCGAGUGAGGGAUGACGGCCUUCGGGUUGUAAACUCCUGGCGACAGCGAGGAAGCGACCUGGUUGGAAGGGGGGUGACGGUAGUGGUAGAAGAAGCACCGGCUAACUACGUG